GACGAACGCUGGCGGCGUGCUUAACACAUGCAAGUCGAGCGGAAAGGCCCUUUCGGGGGUACUCGAGCGGCGAACGGGUGAGUAACACGUGAGUAAUCUGCCCUUCACUUGGGUAUAACCUCCGGAAACGGUGGCUAAUACCCGAUACGACCAUGCCUCGCAUGAGGGGGUGGUGGAAAGUUGUUCGGGGGGGGGUGGGCUCGCGGCCUAUCAGCUUGUUGGUGGGGUAAUGGCCUACCAAGGCUUUGACGGGUAGCCGGCCUGAGAGGGUGACCGGCCACACUGGGACUGAGACACGGCCCAGACUCCUACGGGAGGCAGCAGUGGGGAAUAUUGGACAAUGGGCGGAAGCCUGAUGCAGCAACGCCGCGUGAGGGAUGACGGCCCUCGGGUUGUAAACCUCUUUCACCUGUGACGAAGCGAAAGUGACGGUAGCAGGAGAAGAAGCACCGGCCAACUACGUG
rnacentral:rRNA from 1 species